GAUGAAGAACGUAGCGAAAUGCGAUACUUGGUGUGAAUUGCAGAAUCCCGUGAACCAUCGAGUCUUUGAACGCAAGUUGCGCCCGAAGCCACUAGGCCGAGGGCACGCCUGCCUGGGCGUCACACGCCGUUGCCCCCCCAUCUACUCCUUCGGGAUUGCGGGGGGGCGGAUGAUGGCCUCCCGUGCGCCUAGCCGCGCGGUGGGCAUAAAUACCAAGUCCUCGGCGACGCACGCCACGACAAUCGGUGGUUGCGAAACCUCGGUUGCCCGUCGUGUGCGUUCGUCGCGCAUCGAGGGCUCGAAAAAAUGCUCGGCUCCGGCUGGGCUUUCAACGCGACCCCAGGUCAGGCGGGGUUACCCGCUGAAUUUAAGCAUAUCAAUAAGCGGAGGA
rnacentral:misc_RNA from 1 species